AGUUAGUAGAAUGGGGGGUGUGAAUUGGAAUUUUGUAGAAAACCUAACUAUAAAAGCUAGUUAGUAAGAGAAAGAGUCAUUAUUCACAUUUCUUAGGGAAGUUAGAAAGAGAGGCUCUAGAAACAAAGGGAGGAAGAAACGAAGAAGUGAGAACCAAGCUCAAAGAACAACCAAGCUUCCAUUUUUCAAGCUUCAUUAGAGAUUAUCAGGUUGUGUAUGUUUGUCGGUGUUCGAGUUGUUGGUGAAGCUCCGCUCUGAUUAUGACACGGGGAAGGGUUUAUCGAGUCUUGUACUUGUAUUCUUAUUUUAUUGUAAAUGUAUUAUUUUAGAAAAUAAUUUUUAUUAAGCGAGGUUUAUGCUAAUUAGCAAUGUUCUUGAAGUAUGUAAUACCUUAAACCACUAUUUUAUAUUUUAACUUCGACUUCGAGUCGUUUUAAUUUUAUUA